GACGAACGCUGGCGGCGCGCCUAACACAUGCAAGUCGAACGAGCGAGAGAGAGCUUGCUUUCUCAAGCGAGUGGCGAACGGGUGAGUAACGCGUGAGGAACCUGCCCCUAAGUCUGGGAUACCAUUUGGAAACUGGUGCUAAUACCGGAUAAUAAAGCAGAUCGCGUGAUCAGCUUUUGAAAGGCGGCGUAAGCUGUCGCUAAGGGAUGGCCCCGCGGUGCAUUAGCUAGUUGGUAAGGUAACGGCUUACCAAGGCGACGAUGCAUAGCCGAGUUGAGAGACUGAUCGGCCACAUUGGGACUGAGACACGGCCCAA
rnacentral:rRNA from 1 species